GCACCUAAUAUCUCCGGGUCUAACAAUGACAAUGUUUGGUUUGUUUUAUUUCCAAGACGGCUCCGUUAGAGCAGAAAAUACAUCCGUCAUACGUGAUGUAUACAGAAAUAAAAAGACCUCGAGUCGGAGCAGGGCUGGAUAGAGGUAAUUUGGCCUACACAACGGCGACAACAAGAGGCGAAGCCUAUUGCAGCCAAAUUGCUUUUCGUUGGAGACACGGUGAGGGAGAAAUUCCCCAACAGCAUGGUUAGUGAGAUCCGGGCCCUGCUGCGGAGGAAAUGCAAUAAUGAGGGCUACACCAAGGUUGCUCCUCAGUAGCUUUAUUAUAUAUGUUAUAUAUGUCAGACGUUUUAAAGUUAGGUGUUGUUGAAUGUAUGUUUGUAUUAAUAUUUAAAUUAAAGUUUUGGUUUGUACAA